rnacentral:rRNA from 1 species
UACAGAGGGGGCAAGCGUUAUUCGGAAUUAUUGGGCGUAAAGGGCGCGUAGGCGGCUUGGCAAGUGGAAGGUGAAAUCCCUCGGCUUAACCGAGGAACUGCCCUCCAAACUGCUUUGCUUGAGGCCGGGAGAGGCGAGUGGAAUUCCCCAGUGUAGCGGUGAAAUGCGUAGAUAUUGGGAGGAACACCAGUGGCGAAGGCGGCUCGCUGGACCGGUUCUGACGCUGAUGCGCGAAAGCGUGGGGAGCAAACGGG